UCAAAACCACGGGUAAAAAUGUUGGGCUAGAAAACAGAUUCUACAGAAAAAAUUGAGACACAAUGGUUCUGUUGAUAAUUCAAUGUUGGUGAAGAUGUGUCCAGGAGAAGGUCAGAUUUGCAUUCACUGAAGUGGAUCAUAUCAUUUUGGAUGAGGGAAGUCAUACAUUUACAGAUCCAUGGAUUUUGUUGUUCGUUUUCUUCAAUUGGUUUCCCUGUAUAUGGUGUUCACUUUGCUGUUCAUAUGAUCUUUUGAUGUAACUUCAGCUUCUCAACUAAGUGUGCACAAUGCCACCACAAACUUGCACACCACUUUCUCUGGUGGAAUAGAGUAAGUUAAUAAUAUUGCUAACAUGGUAAAAGUUGAAACGUCUUCUCUUUCUAGUAAAUUGCAAAACCUUUAGAAUCAAUUCAAUCCAAUACGACUGCUAGAGAUGCGAUAGUUUUGUUGAAGCACAAAAUUCGGGAAAAUCUAUUGCUAAAACGUACCAUAAAGGAGAGAGCUGCUGAUCAUGCACUUCCCUUGAAGACUAUAUCCUUGGGAUGGACCACUGAGGAAGAACUAUCGCUCUAUAAAUACAUGCCUACAGCAGAGAGAAGAAAUUAUGUUCAUGUUUGAAAGAGAUGGCUCUGCAAAAGGAAUACUUUUCAACAUGUUCACGCCGUUUUUGGAUUUGAUACAAUAUUCUCUUCAGAAGGAUUGUGAGAUUUAUUAUCAAGGAUACAAUAGAAGAGACAAUCUUAGAGUCGCAAGAGAAAAUGAAAUAUCUUCAAAGG